GUGUGAUAAAGUUAAAUUCUAUAUAAUCAUUGUAGGUAAUAUCUAUCUUAGUCUUCAUAAUUGAGUCAUAUACUGCUUUGAUGAUGAAACAUGUUAUAAAAGGACACCCCUAUUACUUGAUCCCCAACUCACUCAAAAGUGCUUGUGAGGUUCUUCUUAUAAAGAAUAACUCGGAGUUGGGAUUAAAAAAUUAAGGCGAUGCUCG
rnacentral:lncRNA from 1 species